GCCCCGGUAGCUCAGCUGGAUAGAGCGAUCGCCUCCUAAGCGAUAGGUCGCAGGUUCGAAUCCUGCCCGGGGCACCA
rnacentral:tRNA from 1 species